UACGUAGGCAGCGAGCGUUGUUCGGAGUUACUGGGCGUAAAGCGUGCGUAGGCGGUUGUCUAAGUUUGGUGUGAAAUCCCCUGGCUUAACUGGGAGGGUGCGCCGAAAACUGGGUGACUGGAGUGUCGGAGAGGUAAGCGGAAUUCCUGGUGUAGCGGUGAAAUGCGUAGAGAUCAGGAGGAACACCUGUGGUGUAGACAGCUUACUGGACGAUAACUGACGCUGAGGCACGAAAGCGUGGGUAGCAAACAGG
rnacentral:rRNA from 1 species